UGGGACAAUGGGGGCAACCUGCAUCCAGCCAUGCCGCGUGUGUGAAGAAGGCCUUCGGGUUGUAAAGCACUUUUGUUGGGGAAGAAACCGGCCGGGUUAAUACCCUGGUUGAAUGACGGUACCCAAAGAAUAAGCACCGGCUAACUUCGUGCCAGCAGCCGCGGUAAUACGAAGGGUGCAAGCGUUACUCGGAAUUACUGGGCGUAAAGCGUGCGUAGGCGGUUUGUUAAGUCUGCUGUGAAAGCCCUGGGCUCAACCUGGGAACUGCAGUGGAUACUGGCGAGCUAGAGUGUGUCAGAGGAUGGUGGAAUUCCCGGUGUAGCGGUGAAAUGCGUAGAGAUCGGGAGGAACACCAGUGGCGAAGGCGGCCAUCUGGGACAACACUGACGCUGAGGCACGAAAGCGUGGGGGAGCAAACAGGAUUAGAUACCCUGGUAGUCCACGCCCUAAACGAUGCGAACUGGACGUUGGGCACACUUAGGUGCUCAGUGUCGAAGCUAACGCGUUAAGUUCGCCGCCUGGGGAGUACG
rnacentral:rRNA from 1 species